rnacentral:tRNA from 1 species
GGUCCGGUAGCUCAGCUGGAUAGAGCAACAGCCUUCUAAGCUGUGGGUCAUGCGUUCGAAUCGCAUCCGGAUCACCA